GCUCGACACUUUCAACGAGAAUCC
rnacentral:miRNA from 1 species